AGAAAAUAAAUGGGCAUGACCCAAUAGAAAAUAAGUGGGCAUGGCCCAAUAGAAAAUAAAAAUAAAUAGGUUUGGCCCAAUUAGGAAAAAUGGAUAAGCCCAUGGAGAAGGCCCAAUGGAAAGUUGUCGUGGAGGCAUGCCGAACAAAGUAUGUGACCACCAAAUAGGAAUAAUUAUACGCGUACGAAUCAAUAGUGAAGUAAUAUCCCACUAUUAUGAGAUAGGGAUCAGCCUAGCAUGUAGUCAGUGACGCAUUCGGUCCACUAUGAAUAGGUAAAGGCAUCUCCUAGCAUUUUAUUCCGAGUCGUUUCGCUGUUAGAGGUCAAGUCGUAGCAUUUUAUUUAUUAAGUUGUAAACGAAUUCUAAAUUUUUAUAUAAGCAUUAAUUUGGAGAUUAUAGAUUUUAA